CACGGGAAAUUGAUGUUCAUGGAAUCGGGGAUUCAGAGAGCCGAUACUUUAGAUUUUCAGUGUCAGUAUAAAAAACUGACAAUGGUUUUUAGCUAUGCAUGGAGUAGCUUUGAAACUCUCCAAAAAAGGAGUAGCAUUAGCAAGACAGGCCUGAGCAGGGCUGAAAGCAAGGAAUUUGAGAAGAUCUCUGUAGAUUGGUGGUGAAAUCCAAGAUGCUCAAUUUCUUCUUGGACGUGGAC